rnacentral:rRNA from 1 species
AGUGAGUGGCGAACUGGUGAGUAACACGUGGGAAACCUGCCCAGAAGCGGGGGAUAACACCUGGAAACAGAUGCUAAUACCGCAUAACAACUUGGACCGCAUGGUCCGAGCUUGAAAGAUGGCUUCGGCUAUCACUUUUGGAUGGUCCCGCGGCGUAUUAGCUAGAUGGUGGGGUAACGGCUCACCAUGGCAAUGAUACGUAGCCGACCUGAGAGGGUAAUCGGCCACAUUGGGACUGAGACACGGCCCAAACUCCUACGGGAGGCAGCAGUAGGGAAUCUUCCACAAUGGACGAAAGUCUGAUGGAGCAACGCCGCGUGAGUGAAGAAGGGUUUCGGCUCGUAAAACUCUGUUGUUAAAGAAGAACAUAUCUGAGAGUAACUGUUCAGGUAUUGACGGUAUUUAACCAGAAAGCCACGGCUAACUACGUGCCAGCAGCCGCGGUAAUACGUAGGUGGCAAGCGUUGUCCGGAUUUAUUGGGCGUAAAGCGAGCGCAGGCGGUUUUUUAAGUCUGAUGUGAAAGCCUUCGGCUCAACCGAAGAAGUGCAUCGGAAACUGGGAAACUUGAGUGCAGAAGAGGACAGUGGAACUCCAUGUGUAGCGGUGAAAUGCGUAGAUAUAUGGAAGAACACCAGUGGCGAAGGCGGCUGUCUGGUCUGUAACUGACGCUGAGGCUCGAAAGUAUGGGUAGCAAACAGGAUUAGAUACCCUGGUAGUCCAUACCGUAAACGAUGAAUGCUAAGUGUUGGAGGGUUUCCGCCCUUCAGUGCUGCAGCUAACGCAUUAAGCAUUCCGCCUGGGGAGUACGGCCGCAAGGCUGAAACUCAAAGGAAUUGACGGGGGCCCGCACAAGCGGUGGAGCAUGUGGUUUAAUUCGAAGCUACGCGAAGAACCUUACCAGGUCUUGACAUACUAUGCAAAUCUAAGAGAUUAGACGUUCCCUUCGGGGACAUGGAUACAGGUGGUGCAUGGUUGUCGUCAGCUCGUGUCGUGAGAUGUUGGGUUAAGUCCCGCAACGAGCGCAACCCUUAUUAUCAGUUGCCAGCAUUAAGUUGGGCACUCUGGUGAGACUGCCGGUGACAAACCGGAGGAAGGUGGGGAUGACGUCAAAUCAUCAUGCCCCUUAUGACCUGGGCUACACACGUGCUACAAUGGAUGGUACAACGAGUUGCGAACUCGCGAGAGUAAGCUAAUCUCUUAAAGCCAUUCUCAGUUCGGAUUGUAGGCUGCAACUCGCCUACAUGAAGUCGGAAUCGCUAGUAAUCGCGGAUCAGCAUGCCGCGGUGAAUACGUUCCCGGGCCUUGUACACACCGCCCGUCACACCAUGAGAGUUUGUAACACCCAAAGUCGGUGGGGUAACCUUUUAGGA